CAAAGGCUUGGUCCUGACUUUACCAUCAGCUUUGGCCCAAUUUAUACAUGCAAGUAUCCGCGCCCCCGUGAGAAUGCCCUCAAUCCUUAGCCCAAGGACGAGGAGCAGGCAUCAGGCACCCUCCCCCAUGAAAUGCCCAAGACGCCUUGCUUAGCCACUCCCCCAAGGGACUUCAGCAGUAACAAACAUUAAGCCAUGAGUGCAAACUCGACUUAGUUAAAGCCAUAAGGGUCGGUAAAAUUCGUGCCAGCCACCGCGGUUAUACGAAAGACCCCAGUUGAUGGAUCCGGCGUAAAGGGUGGUUAAGGAAUAUAAAAAAUAGAGCUAAAGGCCCUCUAGGCUGUCAUACGCAUUACGAGGAAACGAAGUCCAAACACGAAAGUAGCUCUAACCAAAACCUGACGCCACGAAAGCCAAGAAACAAACUGGGAUUAGAUACCCCACUAUGCUUGGCCAUAAACUUAGAUGUAACCUUACACACACAUCCGCCAGGGUACUACGAGCACAGCUUAAAACCCAAAGGACUUGGCGGUGUCUCAGACCCACCUAGAGGAGCCUGUUCUAGAACCGAUAACCCCCGUUAAACCUCACCACUUCUUGUCUUCUCCGCCUAUAUACCGCCGUCGUCAGCUUACCCUGUGAAGGCUCAACAGUAAGCAAAACGGGCAUACCCAAAAACGUCAGGUCGAGGUGUAGCGCACGAAGUGGGAAGAAAUGGGCUACAUUUUCUAUAUCCUAAGAAUAUUACGAAUGGCAUAAUGAAAUACGUGCCUGAAGGUGGAUUUAGUAGUAAAAAGCAAACAGAGAGCACUUUUGAACUAGGCUCUGAGACGCGCACACACCGCCCGUCACUCUCCCCUCAUAAUCAUUAUUUAAACAUUCAUAAUAACCCAUUAACCAACACGGGGAGGCAAGUCGUAACAUGGUAAGUGUACCGGAAGGUGCACUUGGACUAAU
rnacentral:ncRNA from 1 species